CCUACGGGUGGCAGCAGUGGGGAAUAUUGGGCAAUGGGCGCAAGCCUGACCCAGCAACGCCGCGUGAAGGAAGAAGGCUUUCGGGUUGUAAACUUCUUUUCUCAGGGACGAAGCAAGUGACGGUACCUGCGGAAUAAGCCACGGCUAACUACGUGCCAGCAGCCGCGGUAAUACGUCGGUGGCAAUCGUUAUCCGGAUUUAAUGGGUGUAAAGGGCGUGUAGGCGGGGAAGCAAGUCAGAUGUGAAAACCAUGGGCUCAACCUGGGGCCUGCAUUUGAAACUGUGUUUCUGGAGUAGGGGAGAGGCAGACGGAAUUCCUGGUGUAGCGGUGAAAUGCGUAGAUAUUAGGAGGAACACCAGUGGCGAAGGCGGUCUGCUGGACAGCAACUGACGCUGAGGCGCGAAAGCGUGGGGAGCAAACAGGAUUAGAUACCCGUGUAGUC
rnacentral:rRNA from 1 species